rnacentral:snRNA from 1 species
CCGCGGCGAGAGCGGGUCG